rnacentral:rRNA from 1 species
UACGGGGAGGGCAAGCGUUGUUCGGAAUUACUGGGCGUAAAGGGCGCGUAGGCGGCCUUCUAAGUCGGACGUGAAAUCCCUCGGCUCAACCGAGGAACUGCGUCUGAUACUGGAAGGCUUGAAUCCGGGAGAGGGAUGUGGAAUUCCAGGUGUAGCGGUGAAAUGCGUAGAUAUCUGGAGGAACACCGGUGGCGAAGGCGACAUCCUGGACCGGUAUUGACGCUGAGGCGCGAAAGCCAGGGGAGCAAACGGG